rnacentral:rRNA from 1 species
CGAAGCUGGAAUCGCUAGUAAUCGCGAAUCAGAAUGCCGCGGUGAAUACGUUCCCGGGCCUUGUACACACCGCCCGUCACACCAUGGGAGUUUGUAACACCCGAAGUCAGUAUCCUAACCGCGAAGGGGGGAGCUGCCGAAGGUGGGAUAAGCGACUGGGGUGAAGUCGUAACAAGGUAAC